UCCCUGGUGGUCCAGUGGGUUAAGACUCUGUACUUUCACUGCCAAGGGCCUGGGUUCAAUCCCUGGUCUGGGAA
rnacentral:tRNA from 1 species